rnacentral:rRNA from 1 species
UUGAACGCUGGCGGCAUGCCUAACACAUGCAAGUCGAACGGAGGUAGGGGCAACUCUACUUCAGUGGCGGACGGGUGAGGAAUGCGUCGGAAUCUACCCUAUGGUGGGGGAUAACACAGGGAAACUUGUGCUAAUACCGCAUGAUGUCGAGAGACCAAAGCAGGGGACCGCAAGGCCUUGCGCGAUAGGAUGAGCCGACGCCCGAUUAGCUUGUUGGUAGGGUAAUGGCCUACCAAGGCGACGAUCGGUAGCUGGUCUGAGAGGAUGAUCAGCCACACUGGGACUGAGACACGGCCCAGACUCCUACGGGAGGCAGCAGUGGGGAAUAUUGGACAAUGGGCGCAAGCCUGAUCCAGCAAUGCCGCGUGUGUGAAGAAGGCCUGCGGGUUGUAAAGCACUUUUGUUCGGGAAGAAAUCAUGCUGGUUAAUACCUGGUAUGGAUGACGGUACCGAAAGAAUAAGCACCGGCUAACUUCGU